AGCUGACGAGUCCCAAGUAGGACGAAACGCGCGUCCU
rnacentral:hammerhead_ribozyme from 1 species